rnacentral:rRNA from 1 species
ACGAACGCUGGCGGCGUGCCUAAUACAUGCAAGUCGAACGCAUUUUCUUUCACCGUAGCUUGCUACACCGAAAGAAAAUGAGUGGCGAACGGGUGAGUAACACGUGGGUAACCUGCCCAUCAGCGGGGGAUAACACUUGGAAACAGGUGCUAAUACCGCAUAAUUCCAUUUACCGCAUGGUAAAUGGAUGAAAGGCGCUUUUGCGUCACUGAUGGAUGGACCCGCGGUGCAUUAGCUAGUUGGUGGGGUAACGGCCUACCAAGGCUGCGAUGCAUAGCCGACCUGAGAGGGUGAUCGGCCACACUGGGACUGAGACACGGCCCAGACUCCUACGGGAGGCAGCAGUAGGGAAUCUUCGGCAAU